CAUUGGCAGGAAAAAUCUUUUGAAUUAAGAUUUUAAGUGUUAUUAACUCAGAAUUUCCAUUUAUUUAAAUUAUUCGGUACGUCUCUGUUUAAAAAUGAUUGGUCGCGCUUGAAAUUCUGCCUUGACAACAGCGCCGAUUGGCCAAUAUAACACAAGGCGGGAAUUUUUUGUCGAAUUUGCUGAAGACGCAGCACUGACUGCAGGACACAGUCAUUUGCAGGAACACCUGAAAGAACAAAUAAAUAAUAAAGUUUAAAGUUAAAUAGGUAAGUAAAGGUUUAAACGCAACGCAUAAAUAUACACACGCUGUUUUUUUUUAUUUCCUUAUACGUUUUAUUGCCAUGUUAUUUGCAUGUUGAAAAUACUUUUCCGUUUUACUCUGGCAGCGGGCAGCUGCACAAGCAGCCAGACAGGCGUUAAAGCAGGCGGGAAGAGAGUCGUCGUGAAAGACCCAGAGUACGCUGGUAGGUAGAAUAAUGGAAAAAUAUAUAUUUAAAUUUUGCUUAGUUGCCUUUGAGUAUCUUCGAGUUAUAAACACGUUCGUGUUACCAACUUUCUGUAAGAACAUCUGAAUUUCCCGUUUUCAUCCCGCAGGGACAGUUAACACUAGCAGGCAGGUGGUUAUGAAGCAGACGAGGAGGGGGAAGAGUCGAGGCCACAGGAGUAACUUUACGCUGGUCUACGUGGAGUUUAAUAGGAUUGCUUGUAAGAACUUGAAAAGGGAAUUUUACGAGACCCUUGACCAACAUGAUGAUGAACCUCUUGAUGAACCUUCUGAAGCAACAAAGCUAUCAGAGCCAACUGAAAAACUGAACUUUGGUGCUUCAAGGACUACCCCUUUGGUUUGGAGAUGACUCUCCUGCUUUCUUUAAAAUGUGUUUGAUGUCCGAUGAUCACAGCUCAAUUCUUGAUCUGCCAGUGGGGAUUGUGAUAGUUGAAGAUGGGACAAGAUGGGUCUCCCUCUUCGACUGGAAUCGCAAUCGAGGGAAAAUUAGUGAUGGACAAUCUACAUGACCUUCCUGAAGAAGCAAUGUGCCUUCUGUUCGAACUAAUAUAUGCAUUGCACCUGAGUUACCCAAAGUCACUGGGAUACAUGUUUGACUUUAUUCAGCGGAUUCUACUUUCCUUGGGGCAGAAAGACCUGCAGCCUAAAACACAGUCGUUGGCAAACCAGCUGUUUGGCUAAAAUCGAGAAAUUGCUUGCCGCACUUUUAAUUGCAACACAUUUACAUUACACAUGGUCUUUUGAAAAUGAGACUUAAAAAUAUUAGCUUAAUGUUUUGUUUUUAAUGUGAGUGUAAUGUUUUGUAAAAAUGUAAGCUUACUGUUAAACAUGAGCUCAAUAUUUUAAUGUGACUUAAAAAUGCAGCUUGCUGUUAAAAAUAUGAGCUACUGUUUUCUAAAAAUGUGAGCUUAAGUGUUAAGUGCUGUUCAAGUGUCUUAAUGUGACUUAAAAAUGUGAGCUUGAUAAUGUUUCUUAAAUUAAUGUAAAUGUAUAAACCAAAUAAAGCUAUUAAUGGAAAAACAA